UUUAUUGAGAGUUUGAUCCUGGCUCAGGACGAACGCUGGCGGCGUGCUUAACACAUGCAAGUCGAACGGAGCACCCUCGAAAGAGACUUCGGUCAAUGGAAAGGAUUGCUUAGUGGCGGACGGGUGAGUAACGCGUGAGGAACCUGCCUUUCAGAGGGGGACAACAGCUGGAAACGGCUGCUAAUACCGCAUAACGCAUAGGUAUCGCAUGGUACUUAUGCCAAAGAUUUAUCGCUGAGAGAUGGCCUCGCGUCUGAUUAGCUAGUUGGUAGGGUAACGGCCUACCAAGGCGACGAUCAGUAGCCGGACUGAGAGGUUGGCCGGCCACAUUGGGACUGAGAUACGGCCCAGACUCCUACGGGAGGCAGCAGUGGGGAAUAUUGGGCAAUGGGCGCAAGCCUGACCCAGCAACGCCGCGUGAAGGAAGAAGGCUUUCGGGUUGUAAACUUCUUUUGACAGGGAAGAGCAGAAGACGGUACCUGUCGAAUAAGC
rnacentral:rRNA from 1 species